CAACCUCAGAUCAGCCGUGGCAACCCACUGAAUUUAAGCAAAUUACUAAGUAGAGGAAAAGAAACUAACCAGGAUUCCCUCAGUAACAGUGAAUGAAGAGGAAGAGCCACCGCUGAAUCCCCGUCCGGGCGAUGGGCACAGGGAAUUGUGGCGUACAGAAGACUGUCUCCCCGGUGCCGCCCAGGGGGCCCAUGUCCUUGUGAUCGAGGCUCAGCCCAUGGAUGGUGUGAGGCUGGUGGCGGCCCCCAGCACAUCGGGAUCAGGUUUUUUCGGAGUUGGGUUGUUUGUGAAUGCAGCCCAAAGCGGGUGGUAAACUCCAUCUAAGUCUAAACACCGGCAUGAGAGUUCAAGAGGGCGUGAAACAGUUCAGAGGUAAAUGGGUAUAGUCUGUGCAGUCCGCCCAGAGGAUUCAACUCAGCAGCCAUAUUGGCCUCCUAGGUGGGGGGUGGGUGACCAUCCCUGGGCAUGCCAGCUGGCGUCAGGCAUAAUUCGUUCACAGUGUUGCACCGCGACUGGCUUUGGGUUGGCCAGGAAGGCUGCAUGGAAGUUGGUACCCCUCCCUGGAGGGGAGUGUUACAGCCCAUGGUAGCAGCCCUCGCAGUGCCCUGGGGUCAUGGGAGAUGACCACCGCUACAUCCUCCCUCUCCCUUGUGUUGGGAGCUGGAGGCCCCCGGCUCCCAGUGGGACUAUCGACUGGGCCAGCCUGUCCUCAGUGCAGCCCGACUGCAUUCUGCUGCCGGGUCGGUGGGCUCACCUCUGGUGCCCGGGUUCUGUAGCAAUGUCGGUAACCCAGCCAUCCUGUCUUAAAACAUGGACCAAGGAGUCUAACAGGUGCGUGAGUCCAAGGGUGGCCAGGAGAAAGUGUGGGCCGGCGCAUGCCAGCUGAGGCGGGAUCCCCCAGCCCCGCACGGGAGGGUGCACCACCGUCCCAUCUCACCCGUCCUGUCGGGGAGGUGGACCGUGAGUGUACCUGGUGAGACCUGAAAGAUGGUGAACGAUGCCUGGGCAGGGCGAAGCCAGAGGAAACUCUGGUGUAGGUCCAUAGCGGUUCUGGCAUGUAAAUCAGUUGUCUGGCCUGGGUAAAGGGGUGAAAGACUAAUCGAACCAUCUAAUAGCUGGUUCCCUCUGAAGUUUCCCUCAGGAUAGCUGGUGCUUGGCAGACACAGUUUUAUCUAGUAAAGUGAAUGAUUUGAGGUCUUUGGACCAAAAUAAUCUCAAACUAUUCUCAAACUUUAAAUGGGUAAGAAGCCCGACUCGCUGUCUUGGAGCUGCAUGUGGAAUGCAAGCUCUCAGUGGGCCACUUUUGGUAAGCAGAAUUGGUGCUGCAAGAUGAACUGAAUGCUGGGUUAAGGUGCCCGAUGCCAAUGCUCAUCAGAUCCCAGAAAAUGUGUUGGUUGAUGUAGAUAGCAGAACGGUGGCCAUGGAAGUUGGAAUCUGCUAAGGAGUGUCUAUCAACUCACCUGCCGAAUCAACUAGCCCUGAAAAUGGAUGAUGCUGGAGCAUUAGGCCUAUACCCAACCAUUGCUGGCGCCUGGAGCCAAGGGGGCUACACCAUAAUGAGUAGGAGAGCUGCUGCGGUGGCACUGAAGCCCAGGGCAAGGGCCCAGGUGUAGCCACCACAGGUGCAGAUCUUAGUGGUAGUAGCAAAUAUUUAAACAAGAGCUUUGAAGGCCAAAGAGGAGAAGGGUUCCAUGUGAACAGCAGUUGAACAUGGGUCAGUCAGUCCUGAGAGAUAGGCGAGCACCAUUCCAAAGGGACGGGCGAUAGCCUCCAUCACCCUCAGUCGAUCGAAAGGGAGUCAGGCUCAGAUCCCCGAAUCCGGAGCGGCAGAGACAACUGCCAUGCGGCAACCAGUGAGGUGAUGCAAAUGAUCCCAGCAAAGCCAGCAUGGGCCCCUGGGAGAGUUCUCUUCUCUUUGUAAAGGGCAGGGCACCCUGGAAUGGGUUUGCCCGAGAGAGGAGCCCAAGCCCUGGAAAGCAUUGCGUCAUGUGAGCUCUCACCGGCCGUUGAAAAUCCGGGGAAGAGGGUGUAAGUUUCACAAUGGGCCAUACCCAUAUCCACAGCAGGUCUCCAAGGUGAACAGCCUUUGGCAUGUUAGAACACUGUAGGUAAGGGAAGUUGGCAAGCCAGAUCUGUAAGUUUUGGAUAAGGAUUGCCUCUAAGGGCUGGGUCAAUUGGCCUUGGGCGUGAAGUGGGGCUGAGCACAUGCCACGGCUGGAUGAGCCAUCGCCCCUUCACCAUGCUCCCUCCUCCCGGGGGGGCAGGGGGAUGGUGGCGGGACUCUGGAUGCUCACUGGGCCCUUCCUGUGGAUCGCCCUGGCAGUGGUGGGCACCGGUCCUGACUGGAGUCCCGCAUCAUCCAGCAGCUAGCAGCUGACUUAGAACUGGUGCGGACAGGGGGAAUCUGACUGUGUAAUUAAAACAAAGCAUUAUGAAGGCCCAAGACAGGUGUUGACGUGAUGUGAUUUCUGCCCAGUGCUCUGAAUGUCAAAGUAAAGAA